AUACAACGUAGGUAGACGAAAAAAUUAGAAAUAAAGAUUCAGAGUCAUUGAAAGAAAGAAAGAAAGAAAGACAUUUAUUUGAGACAUAUACACUGCUUACAGUCAUACAACAAACACAAUGAGAGCACAAAUACA